CUCCAAGCACCAUAAUGACUACAGAGCAUUUCAGAAAGGUUUGACUUCUUACAUGGGGGCUACUGGAUGCCAAUAUCUGACACCACUGUGGUCUUCAGACCAACUGUCCAUUCUCUGCAAGUUAAAGGAACUUAUGCUAGGAAUACAAUCUUGUAUUCUUAACGUUGGUGUAAUCUAGCGGCUAUUUAGGUAAAACCCCUGCCCACAGAGUUUAACUUAUCCUAUAUCACCUGGCAUCCCAGU